GGGAGUGUAGCUCAGUGGUAGAGUACCCUAGCAUGUAUGAGGUCCUGGGUUCAAUCCCCAGUGCCUCCA
rnacentral:tRNA from 1 species